AGAUUGAACGCUGGCGGCAGGCCUAACACAUGCAAGUCGAGCGGUAGAGAGGUGCUUGCACCUCUUGAGAGCGGCGGACGGGUGAGUAAUGCCUAGGAAUCUGCCUAGUGGUGGGGGAUAACGUUCGGAAACGGACGCUAAUACCGCAUACGUCCUACGGGAGAAAGCGGGGGACCUUCGGGCCUCGCGCCAUUAGAUGAGCCUAGGUCGGAUUAGC
rnacentral:rRNA from 1 species